GACGAACGCUGGCGGCGUGCCUAACACAUGCAAGUUGAGCGACGAACCAGGGCUUGCCCUGGGGCAAAGCAGCGAACGGGUGAGUAACACGUGGGUAACCUACCCCGAUAACCGGGACAACCCGAGGAAACUCGGGCUAAUACCGGAUGUGCUCACUGGACUUCGGUUCAGUGCGUAAAGGAAGCUUCGGCCUCCGUAUCGGGAGGGGCCCGCGGCCCAUUAGUUUGUUGGUCAGGUAACGGCUCACCAAGACCGCGAUGGGUAGCUGGUCUGAGAGGACGAUCCGCCACACUGGGACUGAGACACGGCCCAGGCUCCUACGGGAGGCAGCAGUGGGGAAUCUUGCGCAAUGCGCGAAAGCGUGACGCAGCAACGCCGCGUGGGGGAAGAAGGCCUUCGGGUUGUAAACCCCUUUCAGGAGGGACGAAGGUUCGGCGGUGAAUAGCCGUCCGGACUGACGGUACCUCCACAAGACGCCUCGGCUAACUACGUG
rnacentral:rRNA from 1 species